rnacentral:rRNA from 1 species
ACUCCUACGGGAGGCAGCAGUAGGGAAUCUUCCGCAAUGGGCGAAAGCCUGACGGAGCAACGCCGCGUGAGUGAUGAAGGGUUUCGGCUCGUAAAACUCUGUUAUUAGGGAAGAACAAACGUGUAAGUAACUGUGCACGUCUUGGCGGUACCUAAUCAGAAAGCCACGGCUAACUACGUGCCAGCAGCCGCGGUAAUACGUAGGUGGCAAGCGUUAUCCGGAAUUAUUGGGCGUAAAGCGCGCGUAGGCGGUUUCUUAAGUCUGAUGUGAAAGCCCACGGCUCAACCGUGGAGGGUCAUUGGAAACUGGGAGACUUGAGUGCAGAAGAGGAAAGUGGAAUUCCAUGUGUAGCGGUGAAAUGCGCAGAGAUAUGGAGGAACACCAGUGGCGAAGGCGACUUUCUGGUCUGUAACUGACGCUGAUGUGCGAAAGCGUGGGGAUCAAACAGGAUUAGAUACCCUGGUAGUCCACGCCCUAAACGAUGUCUACUAGUUGUCGGGUUUUAAUUAACUUGGUAACGCAGCUAACGCGUGAAGUAGACCGCCUGGGGAGUACGGUCGCAAGAUUAAAACUCAAAGGAAUUGACGG